rnacentral:rRNA from 1 species
UACGUAGGUGGCAAGCGUUGUCCGGAUUUAUUGGGUUUAAAGGGUGCGUAGGCGGUCCUAUAAGUCAGUGCUGAAAUAUCCCGGCUUAACCGGGAGGGUGGCAUUGAUACUGUAGGACUUGAGUAGAGUUGAGGUUGGCGGAAUUGACGGUGUAGCGGUGAAAUGCUUAGAUAUCGUCAAGAACACCGAUAGUGUAGACAGCUAACUAGGCUGUAACUGACGCUGAGGCACGAAAGCGUGGGGAGCGAACAGG